rfam:Desulfitobacterium dichloroeliminans LMG P-21439, complete genome.
AUAAUGCUACUUCCGCCUAGCCACAGACAUCGCAAUGGGGGCGGCUUCCAGAGAUCCUGGGAGAGGUUAAAUUCCUAUGG